GCAUAUCAAUAAGCGGAGGAAAAGAAACCAACAGGGAUUGCCUUAGUAGCGGCGAGUGAAGCGGCAAAAGCUCAAAUUUGAAAUCUGGCACCUUCGGUGUCCGAGUUGUAAUUUGAAGAUUGUAACCUUGGGGUUGGCUCUUGUCUAUGUUUCUUGGAACAGGACGUCACAGAGGGUGAGAAUCCCGUGCGAUGAGAUGCCCAAUCCUAUGUAAGGUGCUUUCGAAGAGUCGAGUUGUUUGGGAAUGCAGCUCUAAGUGGGUGGUAAAUUCCAUCUAAAGCUAAAUAUUGGCGAGAGACCGAUAGCGAACAAGUACAGUGAUGGAAAGAUGAAAAGAACUUUGAAAAGAGAGUGAAAAAGUACGUGAAAUUGUUGAAAGGGAAGGGUUUGAGAUCAGACUCGAUAUUUUGUGAGCCUUGCCUUCGUGGCGGGGUGACCCGCAGCUUAUCGGGCCAGCAUCGGUUUGGGCGGUAGGAUAAUGGCGUAGGAAUGUGACUUUGCUUCGGUGAAGUGUUAUAGCCUGCGUUGAUGCUGCCUGCCUAGACCGAGGACUGCGAUUUUAUCAAGGAUGCUGGCAU
rnacentral:rRNA from 1 species